CCUCUCCUCUCUCAGCGGCGGCCUUACACCCUUCUCCUCCUUCUUCUUCUUCAUUAAUAGAUAAGAAAAUCUAAGAUCAUUUUCUUAAUCUACAGCAAAUCGACGACACAGAUGCGAGCAAAUCGACGACGCAGAUGCGAGAAAAAAAAAACGGAAGACUUGCUGAUGGAGUAUUCAUUUGUUGAACAUGGUUACUUUGGCGUUGGAUUUAGGGUCGCAGCUUAGGGGCUUGUUUUGCUAUUGGAAUCACCGAACAACCAAAGCUGAUGCUCAUGUUUUUUCAAGGUUUUGAGCCAAAUCUCGGGAUCAAGAUUACUCGUUCUCAAGAGAUUGAACCUAGGCGCUGCUGGACCUGAGCUUUGAUUGAUGACUCUUGUGAGCCAUUUUUUGUCUUCUACAACGAUAGUGAUGUUAUUAGUAGAUACCCACUCAAGGAGAUUGUCGAAUUCCAUGACUCCAAUUGCAUGGUGAGAAACGAAUAAGGAUUAGAAAAUUGAUUUUUGUAGUACAGAAAUCACUGUUAAAUUUUUUUUAUGUUGUUGUAAGAAACUGAAGUAGGGAAUAAUGGUGUAGUCUUUUUAUUGUUUACAUUGCAUUUUUGUUUCAUCUGUUCUUGUUUAUUUGCAGUCAUGCAGCAGCAGAACUGACAUUUUUCUCAAGCGUGUUUAUGGUCAGCUUAUUGCCAGUCAUUCUCAUAUAAUUUUCAUUGCUUCAGAAUAGGAUAUUAACUGUUAGUUUGAUGUUUGGUAAGAACUGAUUGGGCGUUAUUGUUGGAAUUAGCAGAAAGUGUGCAGGAAAUGAACAUAGGCAAAGAUAAAAGGCGGCAUAGAAGGCCCUUCGGAAACGAGGCGCUAUCGAAGCAUCAGAGAAGUCGUCUCAAACUGCUGCCGAGGGUUUUUGCUUUGCUACCAAUGAGAAAUUUCAUCAUUUACUACUUUAAUAAAGAGUAUGGUAGCACCUGAUUGUGUGGGAUGUGUUAGAAGCGUACUAGCGUGUUAGAGAACUAGGAUUAGUAUAUAUGUUGAUACUCAACGCGCAUCACGCUGAAGUCAAGGCAAUGAAAAGAGUUCUUUUAUUCUUUGCCAUAGUUAGAUAUUCUCAACCCCUGUGAUACUGCGGUAAAAUGAAUGUUUCCUUAUGAUUACACUGACACUUGAAACAACUGUAACCGAUAACUUAUAUUUGCAUUUGAUUUGGUAUCUCUACAUUUCAGCAACACAUAGGGUUGAUUAAUAACCUUCUUGCAAUUUACUUUCACAGGGUGCUGGAAUUCCUAAAAAUCUUGUUCCUAGAAUUGGUAUCGGUGGCCACAGGCAUAGAAAUAAGUCAUUUGAAGGGCUCCAAACCAUUGUCCAGCUUCUUAAGACAUACAAGGCCAAGCUUGUUGUCUUCCCAAGGCAUGCAUGCAAAUUCAAGAACUAUUCCUGGGAAGCUGCUUGUGAAUUUUGAUGAGGCAGAGAGAUAGAUGGUGGAUCCUGAUGUACCACAUUAUGUUCAUAAUGACUUAGGAGCUUUAGUACUAAUUGACGUUGGUAGUUAUUUUUCAUGGAUCAUUGGGAAAUAUUUCAGUGAAUCCAAAAGAGUCGGGUUUUGACGGUAUUUCAGAACCUUAAACUUACGAUUCAUCGAACACCUAUUAAGUUCUUUCUAGUCUAUAACAAUUCUCUUUCCUUUUCUCA